CUUGUAGUCUGGGACAACUAUUGGAAACGAUAGCUAAUACCGUAUUAUGAUUUUAUCGCAUGAUAAGAUUAUGAAAGCUAUAUGCGCUACGAGANNAGAGCUUUGUCCCAUUAGCUAGUUGGUGAGGUAACGGCUCACNAAGGCGACNCCAUGGGUAGGGCCUGAGAGGGUGACGGCCACAAGGGGACUGAGACACGGCCCNNCUCCUACGGGAGGCAGUCUGGGNAAUAUUGGACAAUGGACCAAUCCUGUCANNCGCAAUUCUGUGUGCACGAUGACGGUUAGGAUUGUAAAGUGCNUUCAAUUGGGAAAAACAAAUGACGGUACCAAUAGAAGAAGCGACGGCUAAAUACGUGCCAGAGCCGCGGUAAUACGGUUAUGUCGCNAGCGUUAUCCGAUUUAUUUNGCGUNAAGCGCGUCUAGGUGGUUUGGAAGUCUGAUG
rnacentral:rRNA from 1 species